UAUUUUCAUGGUGUAAAACACACUGUCCUUUCAAGACAGAGCUGACCCAGGUCUAAAAAUAA
rnacentral:tRNA from 1 species